CCGGUUACAACAGCUCUCUAUGGUGGAGUACGCCCACAAUUCGUUGCCAGUGUCAUCCACGGGCCUCUCGCCAUUUAAGUGUAGUUUAGGUUACCAGCCACCAAUUUUUCCUAGUCUGGAAUCCGAAGUCGCGGUCCCCUCCGCUCACGCAUUCGUCCAGAGGUGCCGCCGUACUUGGACUAGAGCCCGUGAGACUCUACUCCAAGCAGGUGGGCGCAUGAAGGCCAAGGCCGAUCACCACCGGUCAAAGCCUCCCGUUUACGUCGUGGGUCAAAAAGUGUGGCUUUCUACUAAGAAUAUUCCUCUCCGCUCCGUGUCUAACAAGUUAGCUCCCAAAUUCAUUGGCCCCUUUCCUGUCACCAAAAUUAUUAGUCCGGUGGCAGUCUGACUCAAACUUCCUCUGGCGUACAGGAGAAUUCACCCCGCCUUCCAUCUGUCUAAAAUCAAGCCCGUGUUUUAUUCUUGCAUUAGUCCGCAUGCCCCCGCCCCCCCCCCCCCCCCCCCCCCCCCCGCCGCGACUCGUAGAUGGGGAACCCACGUAUUUGGUAAACUGCAUUCUGGACUCGAGACGGAGGGGACGCGGGUUUCAGUACUUGGUGGACUGGGAGGGUUACGGGCCGGAGGAGAGAAGUUGGGUUCCUGCUAGGGAUAUUCUGGAUCACUCCCUUAUCGAUGAUUCGAAUCGAGAGGUAAGGUUGUCUGGGAACGCCAGGAGGUGGUCAGAUCGUUGUGGUUGUUCCCUGGUGUGCGUCCUGUUCUUGUGUCUCGUCAAGCCCAGUUCUCCGUUGGAUUUUCGUCAGUUCUUCGUGUCGUUUGGAUUUCGUCAGUUCCUCGUGUCGUCUGGAUGUUCAACGGUUCCUGGGGUUCUCUUCACGCUCUUCACCGCACCACCACCGGAUCGCCAUCUCGUCCCUGCUUCACCACCACCACCUGAGUGUUUGUCCCCGGCCUGUGUCUUUACUCUGACCAUCAUUAUAAUUAAACUUGUUUACUUGCAUCUUGCAUCCUCUCAUUAUUCAUCACAGUUUGUCCCUUUUUGGCCCAGCGCUGGGUUGCCAAAAUAACCCAAAUUGGGUUGUUUUCAACCCAGCAGUUUUUAGAGUGUGUGUACCCCAUUUCGGUGGAUGUUGGGAGAGAGAAAUACGCUCCUUAAAGGAUGCACUUCGAGUCACCAUUGGCACCUAGACAGUUACAGAAGAAGUACUAAGAGCUGUCUUCAUAGAGAUAGAGGGCAUCCUAAACUCCAAGCUCAUUGGCUACACCUCUUCGGACAUUGCUGAUCCAGAUCCAGUGACUCCUAACAUCUUUCUGACAAGUGGUAUAUAAGGACUCUAAACUCCUAAGCUGUAGGAGAUGGAGACAUAGCCAGGUCUUGGCUGACCACUUCUGGAAGCACUUUAUUUGGCACUACUAAUCUCCAGAUCAGACAGAAAUGGAAGACUGAAGAAGCCAACUUAUAGAUUGUGACAUAGUAACCGCAUGAUCGUGGACUAGCAACUUCCUGGUUGUCUUUGGCCUGUAGGGAGAAUUGUUUAGGUCUUUUUUAGGUCCAACCAAAGAAUUAGAUCUGCAGAAAUACAGAUCAUAGUCAAGACUUACUCUCGACCUGUAACCAGGAUUAUUUGUUUACCCCCUCUCCCUGACUAGCAAAGAUUAAUAUUGACAAAUUCACACUGUGAAUUUGGGGGUGACUGUAGAAUGUGUUCUCCUUAAACAGUAUUAAUCCAAAUCAGAGUAGUUUUUAUCAAUUGUGCAUGUGCGUGCAUCACACCAACCACACAUCUAUGCACAUUCAAUAAAGACAUUUUGGAUUAUCUGAGCGAGACA
ensembl:lncRNA